rnacentral:rRNA from 1 species
UACGGAGGGUGCAAGCGUUAUCCGGAUUCACUGGGUUUAAAGGGUGCGUAGGUGGAGUGGUAAGUCAGUGGUGAAAUCUCCAAGCUUAACUUGGAAACUGCCGUUGAUACUAUCAUUCUUGAAUAUCGUGGAGGUAAGCGGAAUAUGUCAUGUAGCGGUGAAAUGCUUAGAUAUGACAUAGAACACCGAUUGCGAAGGCAGCUUACUACACGAUCAUUGACACUGAGGCACGAAAGCGUGGGGGAUCAAACAGG